AGGUUUUCCAAGUUAGCCUCAACUCCUGUCAUGGGCUCAGUGGCGCUUCUAGCUUUUUAUACAGCUGGUGUCUGUGGGUGGGUUGCUAGAGCGCUGAGACGCCAGAUUCGAGGAUACAGGAAAAGUUCCCCACCGGCAAGAAAGGGCCGUUCUCUGUGCCGCAAGGAACGAGACUUGGUAGGAUGGAAGAAAGCAUGGGGCCGUGACAGUCACCGAUGUUCUGCUUCUGGCAUCCUCGCCUGCGGUCCCAGGAGCUUCACAAUGUGGUACCACACCUGGAAAUCUCCAGAACAAGAUCUCAAGGAAACACAGGAAAUUCCUGGAGUGGCAAAACAUCCUAUUUGAAGAUAUUCAAUUAUUCCUCUGUGCAUCAGGAGCAUCGCCAUGACUUAACUAUUCAUAUGCUUGAAAGAGUUUGUUUAGCAAGAGCCUUUGCAGGAAAAUAAAAAGAGCCAGCUAUAUUAUUGAUGAUGGACUAGACAAUGCCGUCAUGCUUGUAGGCCAGAACAAAGCCUAACAGACCUGCAAGGGGCCUGGAAAAAAUUCUGGAGCACAUGGUGGACCGGUGAACAAGCAGAAGUGCAUAUCUAACCUUCGUGGGAAUUAGAACAAGAGUUGUGUCCACACACAACGAGAGAGUGGUUCAAAUUCUUGGCAGAAUUUGUCUUCAAGUGUCUGCACUUGCGCUGGGACACCCAUCUCUACAUGUUGAAUUAGAGUCAUUCCCUGUCAGAUACUAUGUUUUAUUUUCAAUCAGUACUGUCCAUUCUGUAAUGGUUCAUUGCAUAGACUUGAAGAUGACAUUUUGGGCUGUGUCUUGUAUUUGUCACUUACUCGCACUUUGACUGUGGUCAGGUUAAUUAACUUCUUGUGUCUAGGUUUUCUCAUUUUUAAAGAAAGAUGUUUAUUUCUAUAGUUUCAUGUUGGCAAACUAGCAAGUCCAUGUAAGUCUAGACUUAAUACUAAGACUACUAUAUCAGUGAAAGAUACUGUUAUCAUAGUGAUAAUUUUUAUUAUUGUCUAUCCUAAAGAUCUUAUUCUGUCUAAAAAGAAUACUUUAAUAAAAG
ensembl:lncRNA